rnacentral:lncRNA from 1 species
AUAGAUAUACUAUUGUAUCAAAUUUUAUGUAAAAGCUUAAAAUUAUAUUAACUUCGAUAAUACAAUUAUAUUAAAAAAUAACAUAAAUAUAAUAAUACGAAUAUAUAGAUUAUAAGGGAUGAAAUUAAUGGAACUAUAACCAAGGAAAAUUUGUUAUUUUUUGUUUAAAGUAAAUAACGAGAAAGCUUUAUUAACAUAAGGUGCAAUUACAGGUAAUUUACAUGCCAUUACACCCCAUACAAGAUCCACAAUCUCACUGAGAUCUCAUCCUAUUAAGCUGGUUCAAAGCGGGUUGCAGAAUGUUGUAGGCCACCCAAAGAAGAGCUGGUGCUACAACGAAGAGGAGAAGGGUACCCCUAUUGUCACUAGAUGCAGCAUCAGCUACCAUAGCUAUCUCACUGGCCGAUGCUUCCGGUGUUGACAUGAACCCUGAUGCAGCCAAUCCUCCGAGCCCUAGCCCUAUGAUAACCCCUUUGGAGCUCCUCAUUCGAUUCAGCUGGUUAAGUGCUGGCUGGAGGAUGUUGAAGAGGACCCAAGCGAUCGCUGGGAUUAUGGGAAGCAAUAGAGCUAGCCCACGGUUGUCUCCUUCAGCUAUUUCAGCAAUCUGUUGUGCAGCUAAGGCGGGGUCACAUGAACUUAAGGUUGAGAAGAUAGCUCCAGCAAUGGCGCUGCCAGCGAGUGAAGAAGGUAGGUUUGAGUUGUUGGCUGGUUUUGAGAUGGUGAGGCCUUUGGGGAGGUUCUGCAUGGAGAGAAGGGAGAAGGGCUUUGGGGUUGGCUUUGUUGGGCUGCUCAUCUUAGUUGAGCUGAUGCUUAGGCAUUUUUGCAUUGAGCAUCGCCAUUGUUGCUACACUUGCUGCCAUUUUUUUAUGUUUUUGGGUUUAGAAUUGUGCUGUUGAUGCCAGGGGAGUCGGGGCGGGGGAGCUUUUUGUGGCAGAGAAAUGGAGUUUCAAUUGCCUCUGGCUGAGGAUUUGGGUUUUGGGAUAUAAGAUUUAAUGUGAAGCAAAUCAAAUGAUGUCCAAUAAAAUGAAGGUCUCUGGAUCUACUCUUAUCCAGAUGAUAUGAUGUGUGAGAUAUGGACCUCAUGUUGGAUACCCCACCACAAUUUUCUUAUCGCCACCAAUGGCAUAUUCCUUCUUAAGGUCAAUUUGUUAACAUUAAGCCGUUCAUUUCACAUAAUAUCUAUCUGCAACUUCACUUGAUGAAAACCUUGUCCAGUGGCUCAAUACACAAUGAAGCCCAAAGGCCCACCUUGCAAAGCUGAAGUCCAUUCUUUGGGCUGCUGUCUCUGUCUCCCUCUUUUUGUUUUCAAAGUCUUCCUCUUUGUUUCGAGGUUAAUACCUUAAACUUUUUGGAAACCACAAGGCUCAGGCUAUUAAAAGUAUUUAGGUACUUUUUGUAUAUUAUAGAAGUGUAAUUUAUUCUUCAUAGGAUAAAUAUGUAUAAUAUAAUACGUUUGAUGUUCGUGCAAGCAAAAUUAAUAAAAUUUUCAUGGAAGACUGUUUAAAAAAAAUUAAACAUGAUGCUGGUAGAUACAUUUAUGGAUUGACUUGAAAAUUUUGUUUUUCUUACUUGAAAUUUCAUUUUUUUAAAUAAUAUAUUAUGUGGUGAAUCAUUGAUUUUUGUUUUUCAAUAUUCGUUCGGUUACAAUUGGACGAAGUUAGUAUAGUUAUAAAAUAGAGUGGACAACACAAUUGUUUAUGUAAUUUGAAACUUCUUACUUCUAUUCUUACCUAGAGAGUGACCCAAUAUAAAUUAAUAAAGUACAAAUUGUGGUUUAAGUUCAAGUCAUAACUAACUUGCAACCUCACUUCUAUACUUCAAACUAUAUACACUCUCAAUAACUAUUUCCCUUUGAAACCUUAGUUGUAAACCAAUGAAUAAUCCAAUUUACUAAUUUACUUUCACAAAUUAUGCCCUAAAAAUAAUCCAUAAAUUAACAAAAUAGAACUUCUGUCUCUAUGUGUGUAACACCCUCAACCCGACUCAAAUUACCGAAUCCAAAUCUCGGGUAUUACUUUACAUUUCACUUAACAAAAUUUCAAAACAGUCAACAUGUACGCUUGACUUAAAAUAUAUUCUUAUCAUUUUAUUUAAAGAAUCAACAUUAAAGGAACAAAGAAAAGUAUUUAAAAAUAAAAUAAUACAUCAGACUUGUUACAACUUAUUACAACACAAAAGUUUGCUAAAGACAAACUCUUUAAGGUGUAAACCUACAAUACGUCACUUUUCCAAAUAGUCCACUGUAUGCAUAAUAACUCGGUUCGCAGCUUCCUUGGCACAUUCCUAGAGUCGUCCCUCCUAGCAUACUCACUCUUACAGUAUACCUAAAAACAUAAACAUAACACUUGUAAGUUACACGAAAUUGUGAGCAUAAAUACAUAAUACAUUUGUGGAUACUGUUAUAAUAUCAUUUGCAUGUUCAUAUGCCAAUUUCUGUAUUUAAACUAUCAUUUUGUUUUGGGCUUGACACUUCAAAAUACUUGGACAUACGCACAUACGCUGUAACACCCCCACACCCGAAACCGUCGCCGGAGUCGAGCUUGAGGGGUUACGAACAUAAUUAUCAAAUUAAGACCUUCAAAUCAUUUGUUUCUACAUUCACAGCUUUCUAACUACCCGCGUUACAGUUACAAGAAAAAUCAUAUCUCGAGUUACGAAACUCGAAAUCAAGAUCCGUAAAUUUUCCCUAAAUAUAUACUCAUAUAUAUAUUUACUAAUUUUUUUUCUAGAAUUUUUGGUUGGGCUAAUUAGUACAGUUUAUUAGUUAAAGUCUCCCCUGUUUCAGGGUUUGACUGCUCUGAAUCUGUGUAUUUCGAAUCAGAUAUCUCUCUAUACAGAAUUUCAAUGACUACGAGGUGUGUUUUUCUUAAAACUAGACUCAAUAAGGAAUCUGUACAUAUAAAUAAAAACUUCUAAUUUUUUUUGAAAAGUUAUUAUGAAUUUUUAAAGUCAGAACAGGGGAUCCAGAAAUCACCCUGGCCCUGUUUCACAAAAGUUUAAAUAUAUCAUAAAAUAUUAAUUUAUAUGCCUGUUUUGUUCAAUACACAUAAAAAUAGACUCAUUAAGCUUUAAUUUCAUAACUUACUCAUUAUUUAGUUCCAUUUAUACUAUUUUUAGUGAUUUUUCAAAUUCAUGUCAUUGCUGCAGGCAAUAUUCUGUUUUAAGGCAAGUUUCAGUCUUUCCAUCGAAUUUUUAUGAACUAGAUAACCUAUUAAACUUCCACUAAGAUCAAACAUGAUCUAAAUUAGCCAUCACUAUGACGUAUCAAUAUCAAACAUUUUCUCAACCAAACAUGGCCAUAUCAUAAAAUUAUUUACUCAAAAUAAGUAUAUUGCUAUACAUGCCAUACUUAAGUUUUCAAGCCAUUUACCCAGAUGAAAGUCCUUUGGAUAGUGUGAUCGAACCUUCGACCCGUCUCGAUUCCCGAGCUGGCUUGUUCAAAACUACAGUAAAUAAAGAGGAGGGCGUAAGCAUAAAAGUAAGUUCAUAUGUAAAAUAACAAGUAACAUAACAAUACAAAUAUACCAAACAACUUUAGCAUGGUAUCACCAAAACAUAUGUCAUAUUUCUAAACAUCAUUCAUCAUCUUACCACAUUAUCGUUGUUGUAUCUAUUUUCAACCCGAGGGUUAAGAACUUACCUGUCCAAAGUGUCCAUUUCACAACACUUACCAAAACGUCCCUUGCAUCUUAAGUGUUCUUCCAUUUCACUAGAAAUUUCACCCGUUAAAACAUCGGAAUACAACUCGGAUACACGGAUAAUUUGCACAUAAGUGCCUCAUAUGUAAUCAAGAAAUCAUGUAACCCGCCCCUAAGUGAACUCGGACUCAACUCAACGAGCUCGGGCGUUCGCAUCCAUAAGUGAACUCGGACUCAACUCAACGAGUUUGGAUGCCUAGUUACAUCUCACGAACUCGGACUCAACUCAACGAGUUCGGACAUUCGUAUCCAUAGGUGAACUCGGACUCAACUCAACGAGUUCGGAUGCUCAACCAUCCUAGUGACAUGUCACUUAUCCUAAUCUAUUCCUAAGGUUCAAACGGGCUUCCCUCGAUCUCACAUUUCGUCUUCCAUGGAAUAUCGGAACCGAUACUCGGUAGCAAUUCAUAUUUAUCAAGUAAACAGAUUUGCAAUUACUCAACAUUAAACACAAAGCAUAAUAUUUCACGAUUAAAAUCAGCGCGUAUCAUAAAUUAACACAAUAACUAAAAAUAACAAUUAUGCUACAUUAUUUACACAUGAACUUACCUUGGUACCAAAAUAUAAAGAUUUUGCAAUUUAGUCCACAAUCUUCUUUUCCUCGAUCGCGACUUGAACUCGUUUCUUGAUCUAUGAUGCCAAAUUAAUCUUAUUUAAUACAUACAUUCAUCAAAACAACAGUUAAUACGAACUUUGGAAAAUUUUAACUUUUGCCCCUAAACUUUUGCAUAAUACACUUUUCCCUAGGCUCAGGAAUUAAACUUAUUCCUUUAUUCUUAUGUUUUAUAACAGUGCUGAUCACUUUCCCUCUAUGGCAACAUCAAAUCUCUCUCUAAAUAUACUUGUGAUUAUUAGGUAUUUUUAUCCGAGUGAAGCCCUUUUACUUGUUUUCACUCAAAACUGAGUAGCACAAGGUGUCUAAACAUAAUUUAAAACCUCAUAUUCUAUCAUAAAACAUCAAAAUACACAAAUUUCACUAUGGGUAUUUUUCAAAUAUAAACCCUAGGUUGAAUUAUUGCUAACAUAAAGCUUAAUCGAGCUACCGAGAUUCCAAAACGUAAAGAGCACAUUAAAAACGGGGCUUGGAAUCACUUACUAUGGAGCUUGGAAGCUUGAACAAACCUAGCUAUAGAGAACCCUUGAAAUUUCGGCCUAAUGAAGAAGAUGGACAAAAAUUGGCUUUUAAUUUUGUUUUUAAUUCAUUUUAAUAACGAAAUGACCAAAAUACCCUUACUACUAAACUUUCCAAAAAUUCCUUCCAUGUCCUAAUUUGUCCAUGAACUUAAAAUUGGUCAAAUUUCUAUUUAAGACCUCCUCAUUAAUAUUCCAAAACAAUUUCAUACUAAAACUUCUAGAAUGCAAGUUUUGCAACUUAUUCGAUUUAGUCCCUACUUUCAAUUUAACCACUUUAGGCAUAGAAUUUCAUCACGAAAUUUUCACACAAUCAUGCAAUCAUAUCAUAAUCAUCAAAAUAAUUAUAAAUAAUUAUUUCUAUCUCAGAUUUGUGGUCACGAAACCACUAUUCCAAUUAAGCCCUAAUUCAGGAUUACAUACGCUAAUAGUCAUACUUAACGUAUUAGCUUCCAUUUCACUACUUGGCUAAUUUCAGAUCUUACAAGAUAAUAUAUUGUUAUAUUCUUUCUUAUAGAAUAACAAAGAUACUUCUCAAAUGAAUAUUUCUAUCGAGCCCUCUUUAUACGGAUUUACUCUUCAUAUAGACAUUUGCAAAAUGGAUGUUCACAGAUACUACCCACUAGCGAAUACUUACUAUCUGAAUUUACAUUUGCAGAUUCCCAAACUGAGUCUGAUACUAUCAAUCUACCAAACAUGUUCAUAUCCAAAGUUCAAAAGCCAAACAUAUCUCAUAACUAAUUCUAAACUAGUCGUAUCACUUUAAAGGAUUUCCAAUCACCGGUGGUACACAAAAAUAAGAAAACCCAAUGAUUGACAACAACUUUGAUUCCAUAAGAUUUCCCAGAAGACAUAAUGCUAUUUCAAAUAUGGGGAAUACCAUGAUGACAUUGAUCUAAUCUCUAUUUAACACAAGCAAACUCAAGCGAUGAAUACUUAUAUCUUUCUAUAUUUACCGAAUACACCCAUAUCUAAACCGAUAGGUUACUAUAGUGGUAAACCCCAUAACAAUACAAAUAAGAUUUUCUUUCAGGAAAAUUCCUUAAAACGCAUUUGACUACAUCACAAACUAAUCAAAUCAAAUUGACUUCAGACACAUCAUAUCCUUAUCAUAGACUUAUCUAUAAAAGAAGUCUUAGAACAUAUCUAGAACUUACAUAAGGGCAGAUAAUCUAUUAUGCCACAUGAACAUCAACAAAUAUGCCAAUGAAACAAUAGAAUUUGCCACAAAGGCCAUAAAGAAUACACCACAUAGGCUAUACAAAAUACACCAUAAAUGAUUAGCAGAUCACGCCAUACAAGCAAAAUACAUAUUCACGUGUUUAUUGUCCUAGAAAACUUUGAUAGAAACUGACAUGGAUUUCUUCCUUAUAGACUUAUACAUAUUUUCAUGUCGUGAUCUGCCAGUUCAAUUUGCAUAUUACUAAAGGCAUCACCAUGGAUAUUCAUACUAUCAUAUCAUGCCAUGGGUCUCAACCACAUGGACUUACACAUUCUCAUGUCGUGAUCUGUCAGUCCAGCCUUCAUCUUACUGGAGGUUCGCCAUUAGUGUCUUUAUAUCGCACAAUGCCAUGAGUCUCGGCCACAUGGUCAUUGAUCGCCUUCAGUGCCAUGGUCUCGACCACAUGGUCAUUGAUCGCCUCCAGAUGUACUAACUUCUAGAGUGUCAAUACUACAGCUAGAGAUAUGAAAUUGAGCAGUGUCCACAAGUAUACGAGUCAGGUUAUAAUCUUGUUUUUACAAUGAAGUAGGUGAGUACUCCAAAGGUCGAACCCAAGGAAGGCAAGUACUAAUAUUAACUUAAACGUAAAUAGAUCUAAUUAGUAUCAUAAAUAAAUUAUAGUAUGAUAAAGCCUAAAGUGAAAAUAUUUAUUUAAUAAGGAAAGAGUAAAACAUGCAUAAAAGAGUGAAAAUGAAAAACUUAUAUAUAACUCAACCAAAUCUAAGAAUGGGUGAUUAGCUCACUUUAGUGGUUAUAAUUAAUUCCUAUUCUAGGUUUCUACUCAAUCUACUAGUCAUUACAUAAACAGGAUCUAGAUCUUCCAAUAAACUAAUGAGUCUGCUAGAACUACUUAUUCUCGACCUCACAGUGCAUAUCGGAUUGGGGUAAGGGGUUCACAGAUAGCCAAUACCAAUUUUGCGUUAAUCCCCCACCUAGAUAACUUCCUAAGGUUGUCAGGCCUAGGGUUUAAGUUCUUCCUAUCCCAAACAAUUGAUCUACUAAGAAAACUCUACUUAGACAUUAAUUAAUCACACCUCCAUUCACUAAUCUCCCAUAAAAGGAUUACUUAGUCAUGGAUCUUAUAAACAAUAUAUACUUGAUAAAGAAAGUAAACAUGAAUAACGAAUCAAGAAUAACAGGUUAAGAAGAAAUAUUGAUUGUAUUGAUUGAUUGAAGCACAGAAAUCCACAAAGUGCUUGAUUGAAUCCACAAAUCAGAUUCUCUGAAUGAAUGAAAACAAAUUGAAAUAAAUCCUAAGUCUAAAAAGAAAUAAAAAAUUGAAAGGAAAUUCUAAAUUACAAAAUAGGUUCAUUCUUAAGUGUUUAAUAAGCUUAUUUAUAAUGUUAGGGUUGGCCAUCAUUCUUAGCCUUAGGUUGGUUGAUGUUUUUACAUUAGUUUUCAUUGCAUGAACCAAAACGCACCUAGCUUGUUGAUGCUUUCACGUACAGGGUCGAUGUCGCGACACUGAAGGUAGUUUGCUUAGCUUCAAGCUCAGCUUCAAGGGUGUGUCGCGACAUCUUCUAUCAAUUUUGACACUAAAGGCAGUCUUAGUAUUUUAGCACUCUGGUCACUGUGGAGACCUUGAACUCCACAUGUUGAAAACAUUGUGACCAACCUUGAAUCCUCAAGCCUUUGAAUGGUGUCCUACACACUUACUAAUACGUUAGUCUUCCCUUAGCCCUCAUUCGACCCUAAGGUCAUAAAGCAACUUAAUUACACUUUCUAUUAAAUGAAAACUAAGACUGGAAAACUAAAUAACACAUAAUAAAUUUGCUCAUAUUCAGGUUCUCUAAGUAUGAAAACUAGUUUUAAUUUGCUACAACGAAUGCGACAAAUCAAACUCUCCCCAAUUAAGUAUUACUUGUCCUCAAGAAAAGAAACAAAUAUCAAAGACGACUCUGAGCAACUAGGAUACAAAGACAAGUUUUGGAAUACAUAGCUAGGAAAAAUCAUAUCUACACAUAAUUCUAGCAUGAUAUAUUAACUACUUACCACUCUUAAUAUCAAACACCUAAGUUAAAUAUAGUACAAAGUAUAUAAACAAUAAGGUAAUUUACUUAUCUUAGCAAAAUACAAACUGUUAUUAUUGUAAUUACUCAAUAUAAUGUCAAUCAUGAAUAGAUUUAUAGAUCACAUAGGGCUUUUCGACUAGUAAUGUUAUGAGGCUUAGGGUAGGUAUGAAAUUCAAAAACAAAAAGCAUCAAAACAACUUUAAGCAACGGAAGUAUUUUAGCACAUCGGAUUGUUCCCGAUUUUCCCCUUUAACAACCCUUUCUUGCUCAUCGUCUUAUUCUCAUUCUCACCUUUCUUANNNNNNNNNNNNNNNNNNNNNNNNNNNNNNNNNNNNNNNNNNNNNNNNNNNNNNNNNNNNNNNNNNNNNNNNNNNNNNNNNNNNNNNNNNNNNNNNNNNNNNNNNNNNNNNNNNNNNNNNNNNNNNNNNNNNNNNNNNNNNNNNNNNNNNNNNNNNNNNNNNNNNNNNNNNNNNNNNNNNNNNNNNNNNNNNNNNNNNNNNNNNNNNNNNNNNNNNNNNNNNNNNNNNNNNNNNNNNNNNNNNNNNNNNNNNNNNNNNNNNNNNNNNNNNNNNNNNNNNNNNNNNNNNNNNNNNNNNNNNNNNNNNNNNNNNNNNNNNNNNNNNNNNNNNNNNNNNNNNNNNNNNNNNNNNNNNNNNNNNNNNNNNNNNNNNNNNNNNNNNNNNNNNNNNNNNNNNNNNNNNNNNNNNNNNNNNNNNNNNNNNNNNNNNNNNNNNNNNNNNNNNNNNNNNNNNNNNNNNNNNNNNNNNNNNNNNNNNNNNNNNNNNNNNNNNNNNNNNNNAAGUAUACGAGUCAGGUUAUAAUCUUGUUUUUACAAUGAAGUAGGUGAGUACUCCAAAGGUCGAACCCAAGGAAGGCAAGUACUAAUAUUAACUUAAACGUAAAUAGAUCUAAUUAGUAUCAUAAAUAAAUUAUAGUAUGAUAAAGCCUAAAGUGAAAAAUAUUUAUUUAAUAAGGAAAGAGUAAAACAUGCAUAAAAGAGUGAAAAUGAAAAACUUAUAUAUAACUCAACCAAAUCUAAGAAUGGGUGAUUAGCUCACUUUAGUGGUUAUAAUUAAUUCCUAUUCUAGGUUUCUACUCAAUCUACUAGUCAUUACAUAAACAGGAUCUCUAGAUCUUCCAAUAAACUAAUGAGUCUGCUAGAACUACUUAUCUCUCGACCUCACAGUGCAUAUCGGAUUGGGGUAAGGGGUUCACAGAUAGCCAAUACCAAUUUUGCGUUAAUCCCCCACCUAGAUAACUUCCUAAGGUUGUCAGGCCUAGGGUUUAAGUUCUUCCUAUCCCAAACAAUUGAUCUACUAAGAAAACUCUACUUAGACAUUAAUUAAUCACACCUCCAUUCACUAAUCUCCCAUAAAAGGAUUACUUAGUCAUGGAUCUUAUAAACAAUAUAUACUUGAUAAAGAAAGUAAACAUGAAUAACGAAUCAAGAAUAACAGGUUAAGAAGAAAUAUUGAUUGUAUUGAUUGAUUGAAGCACAGAAAUCCACAAAGUGCUUGAUUGAAUCCACAAAUCAGAUUCUCUGAAUGAAUGAAAACAAAUUGAAAUAAAUCCUAAGUCUAAAAAGAAAUAAAAAAUUGAAAGGAAAAUUCUAAAUUACAAAAUAGGUUCAUUCUUAAGUGUUUAAUAAGCUUAUUUAUAAUGUUAGGGUUGGCCAUCAUUCUUAGCCUUAGGUUGGUUGAUGUUUUUACAUUAGUUUUCAUUGCAUGAACCAAAACGCACCUAGCUUGUUGAUGCUUUCACGUACAGGGUCGAUGUCGCGACACUGAAGGUAGUUUGCUUAGCUUCAAGCUCAGCUUCAAGGGUGUGUCGCGACAUCUUCUAUCAAUUUUAUGACACUAAAGGCAGUCUUAGUAUUUUAGCACUCUGGUCACUGUGUUGAGACCUUGAACUCCACAUGUUGAAACAUUGUGACCAACCUUGAAUCCUCAAGCCUUUGAAUGGUGUCCUACACACUUACUAAGUACGUUAGUCUUCCCUUAGCCCUCAUUCGACCCCUAAGGUCAUAAAGCAACUUAAUUACACUUUCUAUUAAAUGAAAACUAAGACUGGAAAACUAAAUAACACAUAAUAAAUUUGCUCAUAUUCAGGUUCUCUAAGUAUGAAAACUAGUUUAAUUUGCUACAACGAAUGCGACAAAUCAAACUCUCCCACAAUUAAGUUAUUACUUGUCCUCAAGAAAAGAAACAAAAUAUCAAAGACGACUCUUGAGCAACUAGGAUACAAAGACAAGUUUUGGAAUACAUAGCUAGGAAAAAUCAUAUCUACACAUAAUUCUAGCAUGAUAUAUUAACUACUUACCACUCUUAAUAUCAAACACCUAAGUUAAAUAUAGUACAAAGUAUAUAAACAAUAAGGUAAUUUACUUAUCUUAGCAAAAUACAAACUGUUAUUAUUGUAAUUACUCAAUAUAAUGUCAAUUCAUGAAUAGAUUUACAUAGAUCACAUAGGGCUUUUCGACUAGUAAUGUUAUGAGGCUUAGGGUAGGUAUGAAAUUCAAAAACAAAAAGCAUCAAAACAACUUUAAGCACGGAAGUAUUUUAGCACAUCGUAUUGUUCCCGAUUUUCCCCUUUAACAACCCUUUCUUGCUCAUCGUCUUAUUUCUCAUUCUCUCACCUUUCUUAUUUCUCCACAUAGGAAGUCACAACAUAAUAACAUAAUUAUGGCUAGCUCACGAGUUUUUGUGCAUUAAUGACUAAGUUUUCUAAUUUUGUGACUUUGUCACAUUUGAUUUUUUUCAAUACAUUUCACUUACAAUGCUUUUGUUUUUUCAUUUCUCAAGUACUUUUUCUACUUGUUUCAUCUUUUUCUAUAUUUUCUUUUGUUUCACAGAUGUUGGGUAACUUAUAAUCACUAUAUCAUAUUGAUUCUUCCUAUUUCACUCUUAUUUUUACAAAUUCUACAAUAAUGUAUCAACCUAUCCCUUAAUACAUGUGGCCAAACGUCUAAAUUCGUGCAAUUCUGGGACCAAAGAAAAUGAUAAGUACUCAAGUUUUGUAUGAAAGUUCAUUAAGAAGUGUUUUCUAGCUCAAAAUAGGUAUAAGAUUCGAUGAAUAAGAUUAACUUUUAGGCUCUGGGUUAUACCAAACAAUGCCUUAGGUCAUCCCUAGGUAUCUCAAUAUUCACAAAUUUCACUAUUUUUCAUAUAUACUAGCAUGCUCGUUUCCUUGUAUUAUUUUGGUCAUUUGGUAUAUUUAAUAACUUAAUGCUUAUUUACAGUGUAAUAUAUAGAACUUAGUAGUCUAAUAAUCAAAAAAUUAAAAUCAUUCACUAUCAUGUCAAAUUUAUAGUAAAUACAAUCAACCUAUAUAUAUGCUCCUAACCAAUGACUUGUAUUUCUAUAAGCUCAAGCACACUUUGACAAGAAAAAUAAAAUAAAAAGCAUAAAAAAAUAAGCAAAUUUUCCUAUAUUACCCCCACACUUUAGAUAACAUAUUGUCCAUAAUGUGCAACCAUAUAGAUAAGGAAAGAAGUUGUCUGAUUGAUCGUGACAUUGUGGUAGUCUUAUGAUGGGUGCUCCCUUCCUUGUUUGUAGACAGCUCAAAAAUAUUUUGUUUCUUUCAUGUAAGGUUCCUACGUAGAAACUUUGAACAUAAGAAAUAUAUAUAAACCUACUAUUAAUCCUACUUUUUAAAAAAUAAAAAUCAUCCGAAUUAAUUGUUUACAAUCCAAAAAUUAAAACUAAAUGUUCAGUCAAUCAUUAUCAUCCUCUUGAGAAUCCAUCUCAUCCCCCUCCUCUUCAGCUUACUCAUCGUCACUAUCUUCCCUUUUCUUGUUGUCUUGCUCUUCUGCCUCAUAAUAAGAAUGCAUUGGACCAAAUGUAUUCAGUGGAUAGUUUGGUACUUUCAUGUUGUUCUGUGCCACAAAUUCUUGAAAAACUGGGCUCGUCUCUUGCAUCCAUCUUAUCAUCCAUUCCAUCUCUAAAAUGCUACUCUCACCUAUUUCUUUUCAAGAUUUUGGUUUUACUUUUUGUGUAAGUGAAGCUGAAACGUCCAUCUUUUCUUUACGGUGUUUGUUUUAAUCCCUUAUUUGCUUUCGUUGAAGCUCCAUAUAUUGCUUAUAUAAUGAAUCUUCUAUGAGACUCUUGGAUGGCUUCAUGAAUUGCUCUGUGGUUGUCAUUGGAACUCUGGCCUUUUUACACAAAGGCACCACUAAGUGUGGGAAGAAAACCUUGACUUUCUAGCAACUAAUGCACCACUUCAUAUAAUAAUAGAUUCAUGUCUCAAUGUGUAGCACCCUUAACCCGUAUCCGUCAUCGGAAUAAGAUUAUAGAGCAUUAUCAGACUUAUUUCUAAAAUAAUCAUACAUUUCAUAUACAUUUCUCAAAUCCAUACAAAAUUCAUUCAAAUACAGUCAUAUAGUCCCUAACACGAGCCCUUGAGGCCCAAAACAAGCAUUAGAAGUGCUUCAGGAAUAAAUCGAAUAUUUAAUAAUUUUUUAGAAGAACACAGAAAAUUUUCAAGUGCAGGGGACACACGUCUGGAUGGACAUACCAUGUGGACAUUCGAAUUGGCAUCACAUGGCCAUGUCCCAGCCCGUGUUUGACCCUGUGUAACUCUCUGACUUGGGUCACAUAGCCAACCACACAUCCGUAUGACUAGCCCAUAUACCCUUCGAAAUGGCCUCACACGCUCGUGUGCUAGGCCGUGUGAAAACUAGAAGGUAUACUGACUUGUGCCACACGGCCAAGCCACACGCUCAUGUGCUAAGCCGUGUAAAGCUACUGACUAGAUUUCUAACUAAGUACCAGGGGACACACGGUCGUGCCACCUGACCGUGUGUCACACACGGCUGAGACACAUGCUUGUGUCUCUGCCCGUGUGGACAAAAAUAGGCUAUUUUUCAAGUCAUUUUUCUCACCCAAUUUUGCAUCAACCUAAACAUAUCAAAUGGCAUAUGACCAUAUUAUCAAUAGGCAUUCAAACCAUUCGCAACCAAGUCCAAAUCAAUCUAUACCAAUACCAACAAUAGCAAUGCUCAUAACUUCACAAUUGAGUAUUCAAAAUCAUACCAAUAUGACUGUCAACAAUCACCUAAACGACCAAACUUACUUAAUAGACUUUGUGCCUAAAUCAACAUGCAUACCAUAUCUCAAAAUUCAACCAUUUGGUACUCAGAAUACAAAUACACAAUUAAGGCAUUCACAUAGCAAUUAUAAACCACAUAUCAAAGGGCCAUUUACACAUAUUUACAUAUCCAAACAUAUUCCAUGGCAAUCCAAAUGCACACAAGAUGAGAAUAACCACAUAUAUAUACCAACAUAUGCCAAAUCAAGUCAUAUUACAUAACUAAUUACAUAACCAAUACAUAUAGGCUUUCAUUAGCCAAAUGACCUAUACAUGCCUUAUAACCAAAAUACACAAAGUUCAAAAGUACCAAAACAACAGUUGGAUAUUGUGAUGAGAUCUCCGACAACUUCCAAUUCGAGCAAGCUUCAAAAUCACUAUAAAACACAGAAAAGUAAACAAAAUAAGCUAUUAAGCUUAUUAAGCUCAUAUGGCUAAUAAGUACAACUUACCAUUUAAUCAUAAUUUAUGUAUUUAAACAUGGCAUAAUGCAACUAAACUUAAUCCACAAACCUAACACAUAUUAAUCUAUAAGGUUAGACAUAAAAUUCACCAUUUUCAUAAAUUCAAUACUUAUAUGAUUCAUAUACAUACCUGUAAUGGUACGUAUCAACCUCCCAUUCUUUCAUACAUCAUUAUACCCGUUUAACCAUUUGGAAUAAUAUUAGAUACUCGGUAAUCUCACACACUAAGUAUCUAUGUUCAUAAUGGCCUAGUAAAAUCCUGAUUGAAAUAUUUUUUGGGCUAUCCUUUUCCCACCAAAAUGUCCUCCACAAAGAGAUAUGUGGCAUCCUUAUACAAUAUCAUGUAUUUCUUCCUCUACUACACAGCGUCGAACUAAUUGACCUGCACAUUGAAAAAACACGCAUGGUUCCUCCCACACAUAAUUUUUGGAUUCGUGAACUAUCUGUUUUUUCUGCUACCAAGAUGCUUGAGUCGGGAAAACCUCUCCUACAAUGUAAUUAACAAAAUCUACAUUCCAUGAUGUUCUAUGCUUACCAUGUACUGGUUGAUUAAUGUCUACCCUGAAUAGUUGCUCAUCUACAAAGGUCUCCUUAAUCUCUUUCGUAUUUUCUGCCUGUAGAUUCCCCUUAAUUCUAGAUAAGUGAUCUACGAUUUGAUUUUCGGUCCCCUUUCUAUCCAAAUCAAAUUCCUAAAGUAACAAAAGACAUUGUAACACCCCAAACCUAGCCCGGACGUUAUGGCUAGAUCCAGCAUGUCACAUUGAAGUGUUUUAUCGAAAACCUUCUUUUCAUUGAAAACCCUUCUUUGAUAUAAAAACCUUGAGUAAAAUCCCAGCUUGUAUUUGUUGCUUUCAAGGCGAGGUGUAUUUUAAAGAAAAAAUAUUCCUUCUUGUAUGAUAAUAAUUACUUUGUAAAAUCUCUUUUUAGUUGUGGAAGCUUUAUUUAAAACAGAUGAUCUAUGAAAACUUGUCAUUUAAAAAUUGAGUUGCGGAAACGUAGUAUCUAAAAAUAGUUAUGGUUUUAAGAAAACCAUGUUCUACUUCUAGCAAAUACAAAGCAUAAUAAUAAAUAUAAUCCUAAUUUGAAUAUUAACCAGAGGAAAGGCCUUAUUACAUUUCGGACUGAAAUAACUUUAAAUACUAGAAAUUAGAGGCUUAAGAAAAGAAGUCCAACUUGUCUUGCUAGCUGGCCACCUCGGAGUCCCUCCAACCGUUGAACCACCUAUUAAGGAUCACCUGAGAAAAAUAAAAGAGGGGGAGAGUUUUUGAAAACUCAGUGUCUACAACCCUCAGCUGUAACAUUCCAAAAUAGGGCUUAGUCGGAAUAGUAGUUUUGGGACCAUAAAUUUGACAUCAAAAUAUUUAUUUUAUGAUUAUUACGAGGCUUAGAAUAUGAUAAUAUGUCUAUGUUUUAGUUUCAUGAAGGAAUUCUUUGAGUAAGUGCCCAAUUGGAAAAUUAGGGACUAAAUUGAAUAAAUUACAAAACUUGGAUUCUAGAAGCAAUUUACAUGAAAUUGCUUUAGAUUAUAAAAUAGAAGAUCUUGGGGAGUAAUUUUCCCCAUUUCUAAGUUUAUGAAUAAAAAUGGGCUUGCAUGGAUGAAAUUUCAAAGAAAGAGCUUAAGGGCAUUUCGGUCAUUUGGCAUAUUAAUGAAAUAAAAUGGGAAAAAGAAGGCAAAAAUCAACCAUUCCUCCCCCUUGUCCAGUUGAAAUUCCUAAGCCACCAUAGCUAGGGUUUCCAAGCUUUUCAAGCUCAUUACUAAGUGCUCCCAAGCCCCGUUUUUAAUGUUCUUUGUAAUUUUGAGAUCCCGGUAGCUUACUCUCUCCAUUUCUACCCAUAUUUCAUGCUAGGGUUCAUGUUUAAAAAUUUAACCAUGCAUGAGUUACUUGUAUUUUGAUGUUUUAUGGAGGAAUAUGAAAGUUUGAGGUGUGUUAAAUAACUUUUCCUAGGUGAUUUUCAUGAAAAACCUCUAAAGGGACCUUUUUGCAAAAGUUGUAAAAUAUGUGGUAGAAAUGUGAAAAUAAUUGAAAACGUGGGCUACCAUAAGAGGUAAAAGUGUUCGGCUAGGCUUGAGUAAGGUAGAAAUUGCAUUCGUUUCAUUAUAUGAGCCUAGAGACUAAAUCGUAAAAAUGUGAAAGGUCAGGGGAAAAACGGUCAUUUGGACCGAGGUUGGAAUUUAGACUUGAAAUGUAUAAUUUAGAGUGUUAAUGAUCGAUUUUUAUUGUUAUAGACCCCGAGGAAAAAAUUUUGGAGGUCGAUCGAGGAAAACGAAAGAUUUCGGAAUAACCGAAACACAACACCGAAACGAAUACUAAGUAAGUUCAGAUAACUUAAAGUAAACACUCAGUGUGCCUAAUUAUAUGAUUUAUGAAUGCAUGAUGAUUGCAUUUAUUAAGAAAAUGAAAUUCUAUGAAAUGCAUGUUUAAGUAUGAAUUGUGAUAAAGAUCUCGGUUGAGGUUAAAAAGGGAAUUCAAUGGAUAAACCACGAUUGACAUGUGUAAUGAGGUCUUGCAUGUGUUACAGUAAGGAUUUAUCCCGGACGGGUAAUCUGUUGAUCUCAAUUAUAAAAGGAUCUAGCCCGGACGGGUGUUCCUUUGAAUGGUCGAGCCUCCCGAAGAAUAUGUGUGCAUUAUGGAUUUAGCCCGAAUGGGUAAUCUGAUUAGGAUCUGAAUUUAGCCUGGACUGGUAAUUUAGAUCCGAGUUUAAUAAAGGUGUUUGUCGUUAUAAGGGAUUUAGCCUGGACUAGUAAUCUCGACAUCACCUUAUGAGUUCAUAAAGUGGGGGAUUUAGCCUGGACUGGUAAUCUCACCAUAAGAUGUGAGGUUCGCGGGAGUGCAUAUUUGAAAUGAUCAUAGUACGAAUUGAUGGUAAAUGGAUAUUCCAUUGAGAUUUCCUAGAAACUCAACGAGAUUAUUGUGACAUAUAUAUAUAAAUGAGAUGUUGAAUGAUGUGCUCAUCUAAGAUAACUUUCAUAGUGCAUUGUUAUGUGACUAACUCAUUGAUUGAGUGUAAGUGAUAGGGAAGCCAUCCUAUACUCAUUGAAUUUAUUACCGAAUUUGAUUACAUGCUAACUACUUGGUAAGUUUACUUUCCAGUUAUUCGAGCUUACUAAGCAUGAAAAUGCUUACCCCUUUCUUUUCCCUAUCUUUCUCAGAGCUCGAGGACUCAUAGAGAUUAGAAGACGGUUGGAGAGUCAGCAUACUAUCAAGUAGACCAGCUUUGGUAUAAAGACAUUUCUAAAUUGUUCAAUGGCAUGUAUAUAUCUUUUGAGUAUUUUGUUAUAUGUGUCAUUUGAUUUUCCAAAUGAAGGCUUGUAAAGAUAAAUCUAUCUUUUUUUAUGGCCAUAGAGAUCGACUUGUUUUGAAGUAGGCUAUGACCUACAAAAUUUCCAUGCAAGUUUGUAAUCAUGUGCGAUGGUUGAAUUCCAAUUGGCAAUGAGCCAUAAGAACGAGCCAAUCUUGAAUGUAUUAAAGUGGCAUGACAACACAUAAAUACAAGAUGGGAAAUAACCUAGCAUGUACGAAACCAAUGAUAUGAGGUUUCCAUGCAAUGAGUUUUUGGAAAGAUCAUUUAUGAGAGCACAAUUAUGUUUUACUUUGUUUUGUAAUAUUCAUUAAGUAUAAGUGUAAAAAGGGGGUGACCAUAGGUUUGGAAAAUAGCCUAAUAGGGUCUACAUGGUUGGGUACAUGGGCAUGUGCCUAGGCCGUGUGUGACACACGGGCCACACCCGUGGGCAUGUGGCAUGGUCGUUGUCCCCUGCAUCUAAAAUGAUAAGUUUGUUAAAUGAACAUGGGAUAGACACGGGCGUGUGUCUUGGUCGUGUGAAUUUAACAGAAUGCUCAAGUCUUGGACACGGGGUGAUUGCACGGGCGUGUUCCAAGUCACACAGGCGUGUGACACUUCAAGUUAAAAGAAAUUUUCCAAGGUGCCCAAAGUUUAUCAAACGUUCUCGAUUUUGUCCCGCAUCGCCUCUAGGCAUGUUUUAGGUCUCGAAGGCCUGCUUAAGGGAAAGAUAUACACAUUUGAAAAGUUUUAAAUUAAAACGUAACUUAGUGACUUAAUUUAAUAUGUUUAUGAACAUGAAAUCCUGGUAAUGCAUCGAGCCCUAUCCCGGCGUCGGAUACUGGUGAAGGGUGUUAUAUUUAGUGGUAUCAGAGCCAGGUUUAGUCGGUUCUAGGACUACCGUAGAGAGUAUUAAGGUUUGCUAUACAUGCCAUUAUUCGAAUAUUAAUAGUGUGACGUCUCCUAACUGUUUAAAUUGUUUUGAAUAUAGUAAAUGUCUUCCAAUCAAGCACAAGAUGAGUCCGAGGGAGCUGAGAGCCACGCUCCAGCUUCCGUACAGCGAGCUAUAUCUAGUAGUAGUAGAAAGCUUAUGUUUGAAGGCCGGGAAGAGGCCCGAGCUGCCUUCUUUGAUAUGAUGGACGAAUGGUUUGGGGAUUACCAGAGGAAUCACCCCAACAUACCAAGACCUCCCCCGCCCCUAACCUCCCUGAUGAGGAUGUACCACGAGGUAUGGCACCGGUAAGAAUUGGUAAAGCCCCUGUUGAUAAGCUUAAAAAGUAUGGGGCUGAGGAAUUCAGAGCUAAAGUUGAUGAUAAUGCUAAAAGAGCCGAGUUUUAGCUCAAGAACACUACACGGGUGUUAGAUGAUUUGUCGUGCACACCUGAGGAGUGUUUGAAGUGUGCCAUGUCCCUCUUGAAAGAUACUACGUAUCAUUGGUGGAAGACUGUAUCCUUGGUAGUGCCAAAGGAAAAUAUCACUUGGGAUUUCUUCCAAGCAGAGUUUAGGAAGAAUUACAUUAGCCAACGAUUUCUAGAUAAAAAGCGAAAAGAGUUUCUAGAACUCAAAUAAGGGAACAAGACUGUAACAGAAUAUGAACGAGAGUUCAUGUAGCUAAGUCAGUACGCAACUGAAUGGGUCCAAACUGAGUAAAAAAUGUGUAAACGCUUCAAGGAAGGUCUGAAUGAGAAAAUUAAGUUAUUGAUUGGGAUCCUUGAAUUAUGGGAGUUUGCCACAUUGGCUGAUCGGGCCAAAAAGGCCGAGGAGCUUGACAACAAAAGAAAGCAAGCCAAGAGAGAGGCUCGAGUCGCGAGCAAGAGGUCCAGUAGUAAAACACUCUCUUUUUUCAUAAAAAAAUCAAGCAGCCAGCAUGAACGCUCCAUUUCAUCAGUAGGAUAUUCGGGUAGAGGGAGAAGCUCUAAACAACGAAGACAAAAGCCUUCCUCCCCCAUGGUAACUAAUGUGGGGAGUGUAGAUGAUCAAAAGUUGAAGUGUAAGGGUUACAACGAAUUUCACUAUAGAGAAUGCCAAGUGAAGAGCGGUGCAUGUUUCAGAUGUGGAUCUUUUGACCACUUUCUCAGGGACUGCCCAGAGCGAGUCGAGAAAGAAGUGGAAGUAGCCCCGAAGUCGAAUACUCUCAUUUCACGAGGUAGACCUCUGAGAUAUCCUGGAAGUGCAAGUGGCAAUUGAGUUGUGGCUAAAGACAUUACAAAACUAGAGGCUCGAGCCCCAACACGAACGUAUGCGAUACGCGCCCGAGAGGAAGCCUCUGCUCCUGAUGUUAUCACGGGUACUUUUUCUCUUUUCGAUAUAUGUGUUAUUGCCUUAAUUGAUCCGAGGUCGAUGCAUUCAUACAUUUGCAUGAGCUUGGUAUCUAGAAUGAACAUACUAAUUUAGCCUACGGAAUUUAUUAUUAAAGUGCCGAACCCACCAGGCAGAUUAGUGAUGGUUGAUAAAGUCUGUAAGAACUGUCCUUUGACGAUGCAGGGCCAUUGUUUUUUGGCUAAUCUUAUGUUGUUACCAUUUAAUGAAUUUGAUGUAAUACUUGGUAUGGAUUGGUUAGCAGUGCAUGAUGUAAUUGUAAAUUGUGGUAGUAAGUAUAUUAAAUUGAAAUGCCCGGAUGGUGAGAUUUUACGGGUUGAUUCAAGAGAGUAGAGUACGCCUCCGAUUGUGACCACGGUAAUGGUUACUCAGAGAUAUAUGAGAAAAGGGUAUGAAGCCUACCUUGCAAUUGUAUUGAACACUAAAGAAGUAGAGUUGAAGAUUGAGUCUGUGCCUAUAGUAUGUGAGUACCCAAAUGUAUUUCCAGAAGAAUUACCCAGAUUAACUCCUGAAAGGGAAAUAGAAUUUGGUAUUGAGUUGGUGAGAGGGACAGCUCCUAUUUCAAUUAUUCCGUAUAGGAUGGCGCCAACUAAACUAAGAGAAUUGAAAGCACAGUUGCAAGAGCUGACGGCUAAAGGUUUUGUAAGGCCGAGCUUUUCACCUUUGGGUGUUCCCAUUCUAUUUGUAAGGAAGAAAGAUGGUUCGAUGAGGUUAUGUAUAGAUUACCGCCAACUGAACAAGGUAACUAUCAAGAAUAAGUAUCUUUUACCAAGGAUCGACGAUUUAUUUGAUCAGUCGAGAGGAGCUACCGUAUUCUCUAAGAUAGACUUGAGGUCUGGCUAUUAUCAACUACGAGUUAAAGAAUUUGAUGUACCUAAGACAACUUUCAGAAUGAGGUACGAUCAUUAUGAAUUUCUCGUCAUCCCAUUUGGGUCAACGAAUGCACUAGCCGUAUUCAUGGGUCUAAUGAAUAGGAUCUUCUGGCCAUAUUUGGAUAAGUUUGUCGUGGUGUUCAUUGACGACAUCUUGAUUUAUUCCAAAGAUGAGUCAGAACAUGCAAAGCACUUGAGAAUUGUGUUGUAGACUUUGAGGGAAAAGAAGUUGUAUGUUAAGUUUAGCAAUAGUGAGUUUUGGCUUUAGGAAGUUGGAUUUUUGGGUCAUAUUGUUUCAGGUGAAGGCAUCCGAGUCAAUCCAAGUAAGAUUUCUGCUAUCGUCGAAUGGAAACCACCUAAAAAUGUAACUGAGGUUAGAAGCUUUUUGGGCUUAUCCAGUUACUAUCGAAGAUUUAUGAAAGGAUUCUCCAUGAUAGCAACUCUGAUGACGAGAUUGUUACAGAAAAAUGUUAAGUUUGAAUGGACGGAAAGGUGUCAACAAAGUUUUGAGAAGUUAAAGACACUGUUAACUGAAAUUCCUAUUUUAGUAUUGCCUGAGUCGGGAAAAGAAUUUGUAGUCUACAGUGACGCAUCCUCAAAUGGACUGGGUUGUGUACUUAUACAAGGUGGCAAAGUAAUAGCCUAUGCUUCAUGAUAGUUGAAGCUGCAUGAGAAGAACUAUCCUACACACGACCUAGAACUUGCCACCAUCGUUUUUACUUUGAAAAUUUGGAGGCAUUAUUUAUAUGGUGAGACUUGCCGCAUAUUCACUGACCACAAGAGUUUGAAGUAUUUGAUGACUGAAAAAGAAUUAAAUUUGAGGCAGCAGAGGUGGCUAGAGUUAAUCAAGGAUUACAAACUAAUUAUUGACUAUCACUUGGGAAAGGCGAAUGUGGUCGCUGACACGUUGAGAAAAAAAUCCUUGUUUGCAUUAAGGGCCAUGGAUGCUCGUUUGGCAUUGCUUGAUGAUGGUUCAGUCUUGGCUGAGCUAGAGGCUAGGCCGACAUUUCUUCAGGAAAUCUAUGAUUCUCAAACUAAUGAUGAUGACUUGCAAGCUAAAAGAACUCAAUGUGAGCCAGGUAUUGAAUCAGAUUUUUGGAUUGGUUCUGAUGGAUGUUUGAUGUUUAGAAAUAGGGUUUGUGUACCCAAAAAUAAUAAAUUUAUUCAGAAAAUUUUGCAAGAAGCACAUAAUAGCCGUUUUUCAAUUCACUUGGGAAGUACCAAGAUGUACAAUGAUUUGAAGAAAAUGUACUGGUGGAAUGGCAUGAAAAGAGAUAUUUCUGAAUUUGUGCCGCAAUGCCUAGUAUGUCAGCAAGUUAAAGCUGAAUAUCAAGUUCCUUCAGGUUUGCUACAGCCUGUGAUGGUCCCCGAAUGGAAGUGGGAUAGACUUACUGUAAGAGUAUGCCCAAAGAUCAAUCACGAGAUGGUUGUCAUAACAUACUUGAUUUAUCAUGUUUAUUGAUAUAAGGCAUUGCCAUUAUUAUUUCAGUUUCUUUUCUGUGUACAUAAAUAAACUGUUUUAUAAUAAUGUCCUGAGAAUAAUAUGAUUAUUCUUAAAAGAUCCCUAGUCAAGUAUUAUUGUUGGCUAGGACAACAAUAAUGCAUUAAGACUAACAUGUAGUUGAUUGAUGAUAAAGAGUUGUCAUUGAUAUGGAGUGUCAAAAUCAAUGCAUGGAUAUGUGUGUUAGAGAACAACAUAUUGGACUGCCCUGCUAUGAGUAUGUUUCUUGGAUUAUUAUAUAAUUGUCACAACAUUACUCAUAGUGAUUAAUAUGUAUAUGAUCCUCAUACUUGAGAUCAUAAUUAUCCCAACAUCGUGAAUUGUAUAUUUUGAUAUAGUCAAACGAACAUCGUAACUGGUUCUUCUAUAAAGACUAAUGUUGGAUAUACCACAAUCUAUGUACAGAGAUAUGGUUAAUCAAUAUAGGAUAAGUCCCUCCUACAUAAUGGGAGUAAUAUCUUAGGCCACUUGAUUGAGUGAGACUAGAAAUGCAUGGCCAUGCUCAAAUAAGUUGAUAUGAGAUGUCAUACUUAUUUGUGUAUCAUAGUUCACUUACGGUAUCAAGAAACAUGGGAUGGACUAUGCAAGUGUGACUAUUCCAUGACUUGUGUCCAUUCCAAAGAUAUAGGACUUAAGGAUUAAUGCAUGAAAGGUUAAUCACAAAAGGUUAUGUCGAAUCAUGACUUCUCGUAACUUAGGUACCAAUGAUGCAUUGCUAGAUGCCACUCAUUGUUUGUAACUUUAGAAUCGUUCUAAUAUUACUGCUAACGUUACAAAAACCUAUAGGGCCACACCCUAUGGUUGAAAUGAAUGGAGUAAAACAUAGUUGGUAUUGUAUUCUGAUUGUUAGAUGAAUUAAAUUAAUCAUAGAAUUAAUUUAAUUGGGCAAUCAAAUUGUUGAACAUACUAUACGUACAAGGAUGUUGUACACAUAAUCAGAACAUAAUUUCAUUAGCAUAUGAAUUUGGUUUAUAUAUAAGUUUAAAUAAAUAUAGCUUACCGAAAUCUUUAUUAUAAUUAAUGUAAUUAUAAUUUUCGGUUAAACAUUAUUAUAUUUAUUUUAAUGAUGACUAUUAUGUUCAGAUUAAUUUUAAUAAAUUAAUAUUCAUUAAAAAGAUAUACCAAUUAAAAGGGUGUUAUAUAUGGAAGGGGUAAAAACCCUAAAGAGAUAAUAUAUAAAUAAGCCCGAAACUAUGCUAAAGGGUCUAGCAGCCGUCAAGCAUAAAAAUCACUGAAAUAGUUUCUGAGAUUUUUCUACCGUUCAUUGUCAACUGGGUGGACUACGUAGAGGCCGACAUCGGAAAGGUUGCGGCUUGGUUCGAUAGUGGUUCAGGAUUCCCGUUGCCUAGACGUCGUAGUCUACUCAGAUUGAAGUUUCGGUAAUUUCGAAACCUUUUACCACCCCGAUACGUUCCUUACACAUGGAUCCAUGGUUUGGAUUGCCGAAAUUGUGACAGCCCUAAUUUGACCCUAGUCGAAAAGUGGUUUCGGGACCACAAAACCGAGUCAUAAAAAUAAUUAACCGUUAUAUUUUAUGCUUAUUGUAUGUGAACAUGCAUGUGUGAAAGAUACAUACCUUAAUUUUGUUAUUUGAAUGUGAAAUUUAUUAAAUAGGACUUAUGUGAGACAAUUGUGAAAUGUGAUAGCUAAAUUGUAAAGUGGUCUAUUAAUGCAUGUUGUCAAAAAGGUGGACUUGCAUGUCAAAUUAGCCAUUUUUUUUAGUGGCCGGCCAUGAUAUUGAUUAAUAUAUAUUAUAUGUGUUUUAUAUUAGCAUUUUAAUAUACAAAAUAAAUAAGAAAAUAAGAUAAAGAGUUAGUGGGAGGAAAAACCAAAGUGAAUCCAUUUUUACUCCUCCAUUGCCGUAGCUUGAAGUGAGGAAGAAGGAAAUUUUUGCUUAAAUUUUCAGGAAAUUUUUGCUUAAAUUUUCAGCUUAGGUGAUGGCUAUAAUGAGGUAAGUACUAAGAAAUUCUUGAAAAAUUAUGCAUAGUUUGGAUGAUUGGUUUGAAUGCUACCUAUUCCAUGUUUUAAAUUUGGGUUAUUUGGGGGUUUGAAAUUUAGUCAAGAAGCUAGAACUCUUAGUAUAUAUAUUUUUCUUUAUUAAAUUGGAUAGUAAUGUGGAGAAUGAUGAAUUGUUAAAUUGCUUUUAACUUGAAGGUAGAGGUUAGAAUGUGUUUUAGGGAGAUGCCGAAUGUGGUUAUUGUAGGUAUCUUAAGAAAUAAUAUUGUGGCUUGAGUUGCUAACAAUCGGUUAAGGACUAUGAGGAUUAACAAUUUUGGUAUGAUGUAUAGGUGUUAAUUACCAUGUAUUUAGAUGAUUUGAAGAUUAAGUAGUGGCUUAAAUUCUUAGUGGCAAAUGGCUAUUAUGGUGAAAUGCAAAUGUUAAUAUUUAGUUGCUAGUGUUUAUAUGUGUGUUAGCCGAAUUUGAACUUGAAUAAUGAUUUGAGUUCAAUGUGUUGUAUUGAUAUUAUGCUUAAGUGAAAUUAUAUAUAUAUAUAAUGAAAUUGAUUGGUGAUACACAUGUUUAAAUAAUAUGUAUGCAAAGGAUGUGUGAAAGAGUGAAUUAGUAAUAAUCUGUUUGGGACAGCAGUAGUAAAGUGAUUUUGGAAAAUCACCAUAAAUUGUGGGAGUUGAGUUAGAAGCUGAAUAAAUUUUUAAUUAAAGCUUGAUGAGUCUAGUUUCUUAUAAAAGAAACUAUAAAAGCAAAAGAAUUGCCGAUAAUGAGAUAUUUGAAGUAAUGUGGGACAGAGUUAAAAUGACUUCUAGAUCCCCUGUUCUAUUUUUAUAAAAUCACUAUAAAACGUAUAAAAAUAGUCAAAUGAUGAAAUUUAUAUGCUUAGACUCCUUAAUGAGUCUAGUUUCAAAUGAAAUAAACAAGAACAUGUUUUGAAUUCUGUACAAUGAUAAAUUUAUUUCAUAGUGAAGAGUGGUCAGAUU